UUCCCGUCACCUGUGGUCCGGCCUCGAGGCCCUGCGGAGGGGGUGUAGGUGCGGGCUAACUGCUUUCCUAAGGACCUUCGCCGCUAACGUCUGACGGUGACGGUUGAGGUGUGCCGCGCGCCCCGCGGCCGGCCGUCUGGCAGAGCCCUCCGAACGGGCAGCAUUUAAAUCAAUUCUAACGCUUGUUGCCGAGCCUAUUAAAGCGCAUUUGACAACCCCUGUGCAGCGUGUCAUGUUACGGGGCAGACACUUAAGAUUGCCUUGUGUCAACUCGAAAAUCGCCUUCACUCAGGCGCUGUUGCUGAUAGGUUGUUGGCACCUUUUGGGACUGCCGAAGAAUGGACUGACUUCACCCACUCGUGCAUUAUGAACGAUCACUACCUGCAGAG